GACGAACCGUGCGAACGGUGUUCGGAAUCACUGGGCUUAAAGGGCGCGUAGGCGGGCCCCCUUGUCCGGGGGGAAAGCUUUCGGCUUAACCGGAAAAGUGCCCCGGAAACGGGGGGCCUGGAGGGAGGUAGGGGCAGCCGGAACUUCCGGUGGAGCGGUGAAAUGCGUUGAUAUCGGAAGGAACGCCGGUGGCGAAAGCGGGCUGCUGGACCUCUACUGACGCUGAGGCGCGAAAGCCAGGGGAGCGAACGGG
rnacentral:rRNA from 1 species